CCAUUUCCCCCCAUUUUGACCCAAUUUCCCCCCCAUUUCCCCCCCAUUUCCCCCCCAGGUGCUCCGGCCCUUCCUGCUGCGCCGCCUGAAGGUGGACGUGGAGAAGCAGAUGCCCAAAAAAUACGAGCAUGUCCUCAAAUGCCGUCUGUCCAAACGCCAGAGGUUCCUCUACGACGACUUCAUGGGCCAGGCCAGGUGCUGCCCCACAACCUCGGCCCCUAUGGGGGGGAAAUGGGGCCAUAUGGGGGGGAAAUGGGGCCAUAUGGGGUGGAAAUGGGGCCAUAUGGGGUGAAAGUGGUCCCUUAUGGGGGGAAAGUGGAGCCAUAUGGGGGUGAAAGUGGUCCCUUAUGGGGUGAAAUUGGUCCCUUAUGGGGUGAAAGUGGAGCCAUAUUGGGGGAAAGAGGUCCUAUAUGGGGUGGAAGUGGAGCCAUAUGGGGUGAAAAUGGUCCUUUAUGGGGUGAAAGUGGAGCCAUAUGGGGGGAAAUGGGUCCAAUAUGGGAGGAAAGUGGUCCCAUAUGGGGUGAAAGGGGUCCCAUAUGGGGUGAAAGGGGUCAUAUAGGGGGUGGAAGUGGUCCUAUAUGGGGUGAAAGUGGAGCCAUAUGGUCCUGUAUGGGGUAAAAGUGGUCCCAUAUGGGGUGAAAGUGGAGCCGUAUGGGGCGAAAGUGGUCCUAUAUGGGGGUUAAUGGUCCUAUAUGGGGUGAAAGGGGUCAUAUAGGGGGUGCAAAUGGUCCCACCCCAAUCCGACCUUUUUCUUUACAUUUCCCCCCCCCACCCGCAAAUCCGACCCCGUUCUUUACAUUCCCCCCCCCUUUUCCCCAUCCC
rnacentral:lncRNA from 1 species